rnacentral:lncRNA from 1 species
AUCAUGGUCUUGUCCCUGCUGUCUAUCGUCUACGGUGCCUUACGUUGCAACAUCUUAGCCAUCAAAAUCAAGUAUGAUGAGUACGAGGUCAAAGUCAAACCCCUGGCCUAUGUCUGUAUCUUCCUCUGGAGAAGCUUUGAGAUUGCCACUCGGGUCAUCGUCCUGGUCCUCUUUACCUCUGUCCUGAAGAUCUGGGUGGUGGUGGUCAUACUUGUCAACUUCUUCAGCUUCUUCUUGUACCCGUGGAUCCUUUUCUGGAACAGUGGCUCCCCAUUCCCUGAGAACAUAGAGAAGGCCCUAACUAGGGUAGGUACCACCAUCGUGCUCGGUUUCCUCACUUUACUCUACGCCGGUAUCAACAUGUUCUGCUGGUCAGCCGUACAGC